rnacentral:rRNA from 1 species
GAUGAACGCAGGCGGCGUGCUUAACACAUGCAAGUCGAACGGAAAGGCCCAAGCUUGCUUGGGUACUCGAGUGGCGAACGGGUGAGUAACACGUGGGUGAUCUGCCCUGCACUUCGGGAUAAGCCUGGGAAACUGGGUCUAAUACCGGAUAGGACCACAUUUUGGAUGGUGUGGUGGAAAGUUUUUCGGUGUGGGAUGAGCUCGCGGCCUAUCAGCUUGUUGGUGGGGUAAUGGCCUACCAAGGCGUCGACGGGUAGCCGGCCUGAGAGGGUGUACGGCCACAUUGGGACUGAGAUACGGCCCAGACUCCUACGGGAGGCAGCAGUGGGGAAUAUUGCACAAUGGGCGCAAGCCUGAUGCAGCGACGCCGCGUGGGGGAUGACGGCCUUCGGGUUGUAAACUCCUUUCGCUAGGGACGAAGCGUUUUUGUGACGGUACCUGGAGAAGAAGCACCGGCUAACUACGUG